CCAAACAUGUAACUGCUUAUUUAUUAAAUUAAUUUCAGCACUUAAAAGUACUUUUCAACACUUAAUAUUUAUCAGCUACUUCUAAUAAGCUAAUCCAAAUGGGCUGUAUGACUUCCCACAAUCCACUUACAAGAUUACACUGGAAUAUUUCUUACAAAACACGAUGACAAGCAAAUUUUGCGGCAUACAGAGGCUGUGUUUUCACAAAUAUUGAGUUUGUUGAAGGCUAUAUUUUCACAACAUGUAGGGAUGACUUGUGUCCGUAUGCAAAAAGAAAAAGACUAUAACAAGCAAGAAAGUCUUCAAUAUUUCUGCAAUUUUCCCAAGUACAUAGUACUCCAAUUUCAUUUUUCUUUUAAGAACUUAUUAUUAGAGCAGAAUUUUACAUUAUAUUUAACAGUACUCCAAUUUCAUUUUUCUUUUAAGAAAUUAUUAGAGCAGAACUUUACAGUAUAUUUAACUGUAAAGCAGCAUGGUGCAGAAUUGCAGAUUCCACAGCUUGAGGACUAUUCAUCCAAAAGUUCCAGGACCCUGAAACGGAUAAAAGGAAAGAAUAAUUCUUCUAAAACAUACAUGUGGGCAAAGAAUGAGACUGCUACAGCGUGUGGCCUUAAUUCCUAGCGUUCGACUUCUGCAUUAACUGGGUCACUAUAAAAAAUAGAACGUCAAAAGAAAACCAGAUAAAUCUGCUUCCACAGUUUGAGACAAAGAAUGAGACUGCUACAGCAUGCGGCCAUAAUUCCUAGCGUUCGACUUCUGCAUUCACUGGGUCACUAUAAAAAACAGAACGUCAAAAGAAAACCAAAUAAAUCUGCUUCCACAGUUUGAGUGAUCUCAAGAGGG
rnacentral:lncRNA from 1 species